rnacentral:tRNA from 1 species
UUUCCACCUCUAACUCCCAAAGCUAGAAUUCUAAACUAAACUACUCUUUG